CCUACGGGUGGCUGCAGUCGAGAAUCUUCGGCAAUGGACGAAAGUCUGACCGAGCGACGCCGCGUGCGGGAUGAAGGCCUUCGGGUUGUAAACCGCUGUCGUAGGGGAGGAAAUUGAUCGGGGUUCUCCCCGGUCAUUGACCUAUCCUAGGAGGAAGGACGGGCUAAGUUCGUGCCAGCAGCCGCGGUAAUACGAACCGUCCAAACGUUAUUCGGAAUCACUGGGCUUAAAGGGUACGUAGGCGGCGCUGUUAGUCGGGUGUGAAAGCCCUCGGCUCAACCGAGGAAUUGCGUCCGAUACUGCAGUGCUUGAGGGAGACAGAGGUAAGCGGAACUGAUGGUGGAGCGGUGAAAUGCGUUGAUAUCAUCAGGAACACCGGUGGCGAAAGCGGCUUACUGGGUCUUUUCUGACGCUGAGGUACGAAAGCUAGGGGAGCGAAG
rnacentral:rRNA from 1 species